CUGAGUAUUAGGCAAAUCCGGUACUCGUUAAGGCUGAGCUGUGAUGGGGAGAAGACAUUGAGUCUUCGAGUCGUUGAUUUCACACUGCCGAGAAAAGCCUCUAGAUAGAAAAUAGGUGCCCGUACCGCAAACCGACACAGGUAGUCAAGAUGAGAAUUCUAAGGUGAGCGAGCGAACUCUCGUUAAGGAACUCGGCAAAAUGACCCCGUAACUUCGGGAGAAGGGGUGCUCUUUAGGGUUAACGCCCAGAAGAGCCGCAGUGAAUAGGCCCAAGCGACUGUUUAUCAAAAACACAGGUCUCUGCUAAACCGUAAGGUGAUGUAUAGGGGCUGACGCCUGCCCGGUGCUGGAAGGUUAAGAGGAGUGGUUAGCUUCUGCGAAGCUACGAAUCGAAGCCCCAGUAAACGGCGGCCGUAACUAUAACGGUCCUAAGGUAGCGAAAUUCCUUGUCGGGUAAGUUCCGACCCGCACGAAAGGCGUAACGAUUUGGGCACUGUCUCAACGAGAGACUCGGUGAAAUCAUAGUACCUGUGAAGAUGCAGGUUACCCGCGACAGGACGGAAAGACCCCGUGGAGCUUUACUGUAGCCUGAUAUUGAAAUUCGGCACAGCUUGUACAGGAUAGGUAGGAGCCUUUGAAACGUGAGCGCUAGCUUACGUGGAGGCGCUGGUGGGAUACUACCCUA
rnacentral:rRNA from 1 species